UAGAGUUUGAUCCUGGCUCAGAAUCAACGCUGGCGGCGUGCCUCAGACAUGCAAGUCGAACGCGAAAGUUCCCUUCGGGGAGCGAGUAGAGUGGCGCACGGGUGAGUAACACGUAGGUAAUCUACCUUUGGAUGGGGAAUAACAACCGGAAACGGUUGCUAAUACCGCAUAAUGCAGCGGCACCUAGUGGUGACAGUUGUUAAAGCGGGGGAUCGUAAGACCUCGCGUCUGAAGAGGAGCCUGCGGCGGAUUAGCUAGUUGGUAAGGUAACGGCUUACCAAGGCGAUGAUCCGUAGCCGGCCUGAGAGGGCGGUCGGCCACACUGACACUGACAUACGGGUCAGACUCCUACGGGAGGCAGCAGUCGGGAAUUUUGGGCAAUGGGCGAAAGCCUGACCCAGCAACGCCGCGUGAAGGAUGAAAUCCCUCGGGAUGUAAACUUCGCAAGAACAGGAAGAAUAAGGAAGAGUUAAUACCUCUUUUGAUGACGGUACUGUUUGUAAGCUCCGGCUAACUCCGUGCCAGCAGCCGCGGUAAUACGGGGGGAGCAAGCGUUGUUCGGAUUUACUGGGCGUAAAGGGCGCGUAGGCGGCCACCGCAAGUCGGUUGUGAAAUCUCCGGGCUUAACCCGGAAAGGUCAAUCGAUACUGCGGGGCUAGAGUGCAGAAGGGGCAACUGGAAUUCUCGGUGUAGCGGUGAAAUGCGUAGAUAUCGAGAGGAACACCUGCGGCGAAGGCGGGUUGCUGGGCUGACACUGACGCUGAAGCGCGAAAGCUAGGGGAGCGAACGGGAUUAGAUACCCCGGUAGUCCUAGCCUUAAACGAUGAAUGCUUGGUGUCUGGGGUUUUAUAGUCCCCGGGGUGCCGUCGCUAACGCUUUAAGCAUUCCGCCUGGGGAGUACGGUCGCAAGACUGAAACUCAAAGGAAUUGACGGGGACC
rnacentral:rRNA from 1 species